UGCGCAAGACCUUGUGGGGCUUGUAGGCCGGAUCGCUCUCGAGCUGGAGGCGCCUGCGUGUUGGCCGCCAACUCGCUCUAGUAGCUGUGGUCCGGGCUCGGGACCGGCUGCCAUCUUAGUCGAGGGACGCAAGAGUCGCCGCCGCCCCGAGUCCCGGUAACAUGCAUUUAACAGUGGCCUUCUGGAGACAGCGCCUUAACCCAAAGAAGUGACUUCAAACAGUGAAAACUUCAGGUUUGCCGUCCUGUUGGUGUUAUGUCUGACAGUGGAUCACAGCUUGGUUCAAUGGGUAGCCUGACCAUGAAAUCACAACUUCAGAUAACUGGUAAGUCUUAAAAAGAUCUACUGCUUUACUUCCCCCCCACUCCCAAGAUAAAAAGAAACAAAUCUUAAAAUCUUUAGUGGCUGUGACGUAUCAGGUUCUGAAUGAAUGAAUGAACAUAAUGUUUAGAUAUGUAAAAAUUACAUUUUGAUUUCAGGAUAUUCUUGGGUAUAGUAUAGGAUUUGGGUUUGUUUGUUUUUUCCAUUAAACAUGCUUCGGCAAUUGCUAUUGUUUUUUGUUUUCAUUUGGAUUUUAUUAGCUUUGUUGAGAUAAUUCACAUACCAUACAGUUUACCCAUUUAGAAGUCAAUGAUUGUUAGUACAUUCUCAGAGUUGUGCAACCAACACCAGUCAAUUUUAGAACAUUUUCACCACUGCAGAAAGAAACCCCUGCCCCAUAUUCCCCAACCACCUUCAGCCCUAGCUAACUAUUUUUGUCUCUAUAGCUUUGCCUAUUUUGGAUCUCUCAUAUAAAUAGAGUCAUAAAAUGUGUGGCCUUUGUCUCUGACUUUUUUCACUUAUCAUAAUAAUGUUUUCAAGGUUCAGCCAUGUUGUAGCAUGUAUUAGUAUCUAAUUUCUUUUUAUUGCCAAAUACUAUUCCAUGUGUGGACAUACUUUAUCCAUUUAUCAGCUGAUGGAUGUUUGGGUUGGUUCCACUUUUUGGCUAUUAUGAAUAAUGCUAUGAACGUCUGUAUGUAAGUUUUUGUGAAGAUGUAUGUUUUCAGUUUUCUUGAGUAUAUACCUUCUACUUUCUGGAGUAGAAUCACUGGGUCACGUAAUAUCCAUGUUUAGCUUUGUGAGGAAUUCCAAAUUAUUUUUCAAAGCAACCACACCACUUUAUAUUCCCACCAGUCAUGUAUGAGGGUUACAAUUUUGUAAGCGUCCUUGCAAUGCUUAUCUUUUUGAUUAGAGACAUCCUAAUGGAUGUGAGCUAUCUCAUUAUGGGUUUGAGUUGCAUUUCUCUGAUGGUUAAAUGAUGAUGAGCAUCUUUUCAUGUGCUUAUUGGCCAUUUGUAUAUGUUUUUUGGAGAAAUGCCUAUUAAAUAUUUUGGUUGCUGUUGUUACUUUCCUAAUAUCUCUUUGUUUCUUCCUCUAACCAUACUAAUCAAGUGUAUCACUUUCAGAUUAAUGUUCUUAAAAUGCCUACUGAUUUGUUCAUUCCUGCUCAGAAACCUUCAGUGCUUCUCCUUGGCUAUGGUAUUGAAUUUCUUUAAAACUGGGCUAAGACGUUUUACAGGCUCCAUAUGAUCUCUUUGUAGGUCUUUAUAUAUCAAUAGAAGCUACUUGCACUAGCCAAAGUGAGGCACUGGGUUUUCUUCAGACAUGCAUGUGUCUAUCACACAAUGGAACCCUAGACUCUCUCCCUUUAAUUUAAUGGCAUUUAUUGAUUAUUUUAGUUUUUACUAUACCUGGCUUAUAUCCACUUCUAGGUUAUGAAUAUGAGGUCAUAUACUGUCUAAUUAUUGUCCUCCUCAAAACCUAAAAGUGAUUGAGUUAUAAAGAAAUAACACUUUAAGUUGAAAGCAUGUUAGAAUUUAUUCUUGGGAAUUCUUUCACUAACUCCAGUCUCUUCCCUUAGCAAUGUCUGAUUCUCAGUGAAAGAUAUUAAUAUUUCUCAGAUUCUAAUUGUUUCUCCCCUCCCCAUUCUCAAGCUACUCUGAGUAGCUGAUUUACAUUGGGCCAGGCUUCUUAAGACUUCUUUUUUGGGGCAGCUUAUUGUUAAAACCUUUGAUUUAAAGAAUUUCUGAUAGAUUGUUUCAACUUUUCAGGUUACAUAAGUAAUAUACAUGCUUUUUAUUUUUAAAAACUGAGUAAAAUAGUAAAGUGAGGAGUCCUUAUCUUAUUAUUUAUCAUCUCAAUCCCCAGAUAAAUAGGUUUAUAUUCCUUUAGACUUUUCUUUGCAUAAACUAUCUUAUUUGCUAUCAUUACUGUCAUAGUAAGAAAAACAUUUAAUGCCUAAAUGCAUUAUGUCCUCAAGAAGACAUAAUUCUUAGCCAUUUAUAAGCUUUUUAAUCUUGGGUCUAAAAAUCCUGAGAAUGUACAAGUAUAGGGCAAAAACAUUUUAACAAAAACAAACACCAUGAAUUAUGGAUAAAAGCUAUUUGCAUAUUUAGCAAAAAUAUCAUUAGAUAUGGGACAAAUGGAGAACAUCAGAUAAUGAACAAUAAAGUGCCAAGUUGACUAGAAUCAAGUGUCCUUCAUAAUUCAUUGUUUACUUCUUUGCUUUUGGUGCUAGAAACCUCAGAACUAAGUUUUUUUGCACAAAUCUCCUUAAUUGACAUUGUAUUUUUUAGUCUGUGUUAAUGGA